rnacentral:rRNA from 1 species
GACGAACGCUGGCGGCGUGCUUAACACAUGCAAGUCGAACGGAAAGGCCUGCUUUCCCUUGUGGAUUGCGGGUACUCGAGUGGCGAACGGGUGAGUAACACGUGAGUGAUCUGCCCCCAACUUGGGUAUAAGCCUGGGAAACUGGGUCUAAUUCCCGAUAGGACUGCAGGGUGGUGCCUGUGGUGGAAAACGAUUUUCUAGUGGUUGGGGAUGAGCUCGCGGCCUAUCAGCUUGUUGGUGGGGUAAUGGCCUACCAAGGCGGCGACGGGUAGCCGGCCUGAGAGGGUGGACGGCCACCUUGGGACUGGGAUACGGCCCAGACUCCUACGGGAGGCAGCAGUGGGGAAUAUUGCACAAUGGGCGGAAGCCUGAUGCCGCGACGCCGCGUGGGGGAUGACGGCCUUCGGGUUGGAAACUCCUUUCGACCGCGAGGAAGCCACCUGGUUGGAAGGGUGGUGACGGUAGUGGUAGAAGAAGCACCGGCUAACUACGU